UGCGUCUUUGGGGAAGUGUAACAACUGAAGGUUCUUUCCAUUGGUACUGACCUAUUUCAUCGCGGGGUUGUUAUAUAAUAAAAUUCAUAAGGGUGUCAGCAGCUUUCCUGAAAUGAUCCCUAAUCAUUCUUUCUGGGGCGAUGUCCCAUUUUUGGUUAAGGAUGGCUGUGUUUUCACAUUUCAAGGAAUAGCUGGCUGUUGCAGACGUGUUUCUAUGAAAGUCAAAGGGGACUCUUAUGCUGAAAUAUAAGAUUAUAUUUUAAUUUCUUUUUCUUUUUUUUAAUUCAGUGAUAACAUUAUGCGAAUUAUUAUGUGACUUACGCGUAGGGUAAUUUACGCUAUAAGUUAAGACUUUUUAUGCGUUGCUUUUGUGGUCUGCCUAGAAGAUUAAGUUAAGAUUAAGGCAAAAACUGCCUUUAAACAUUUUUUUUAUAGCUCAGUGGCCCCGCUUUUGUUCAUGCUACUCCAGUCUUACGGAACUCGUUGCCGUUACCAAUCAGAUUUUGUAGCAAUCUUGCUACUUUUAAGAAUCGACUCAAAAUAUUUCUUUUCAGGAGAGUGUUCAGUACUCGUUUAUAAUGCCCAGUUUAAUGUAAUUGUUUUUGGAUAUAUGCAUAGUUUUAGCGCCAUAUAAAUGUUUAAUUAUUAUUAUUAUUUUUAUUUUUAUCAUAAUAAUAUCAUUAUCGUAUCAUUAUUAUAAUUAUUAGUAAAAACUAAUUAGGAACCACUCAUUAUCUAUUGCGGGGGAGGAGGACGGAGACUUUUGGUUGUGUCAUUAUAAAAUUUGCCUUAUCC